rnacentral:rRNA from 1 species
CUUUUUGAAUUAAUUUAAAGUCGUACCUGCUCACUGAUUAAUUUAAGGGCCGCGGUAUUUUGACCGUGCAAAGGUAGCAUAAUCAUUAGUCUUUUAAUUGGAGGCUGGAAUGAAUGGUUUGACGAAAUAGUUACUGUCUUAGGAUUAUUAAUUGAAUUUUUCUUUUGAGUUAAAAGGCUUAAAUUUUAAUAGGGGACGAGAAGACCCUAUAGAUCUUAAUAUAUUUUAUAAAUGUUUAUUUUGUUGAUGUUAAUUAAUUAUUGUUUAUGAAAUAUAUUUCGUUGGGGUGAUGUGGGAAUAUAAAAACUUCUUAAUGUUGAACUAGGAUAAWUGAGUAUUUGGUCUUGUAUUAURAAGUAAGAGAUUAAGAUACCUUAGGGAUAACAGCGUAAUUUUAUUGGAGAGUUCUUAUUGAUAAUAAAGAUUGCGACCUCGAUGUUGGAUUAANAAAAUUAUUGGGUGCAGUAGCUUAAUAUAUUAGUCUGUUC